rnacentral:rRNA from 1 species
GUGGGGAAUAUUGGACAAUGGGCGAAAGCCUGAUCCAGCAAUGCCGCGUGAGUGAUGAAGGCCUUAGGGUUGUAAAGCUCUUUUACCCGGGAUGAUAAUGACAGUACCGGGAGAAUAAGCUCCGGCUAACUCCGUGCCAGCAGCCGCGGUAAUACGGAGGGAGCUAGCGUUGUUCGGAAUUACUGGGCGUAAAGCACACGUAGGCGGCUUUGUAAGUUAGAGGUGAAAGCCUGGAGCUUAACUCCAGAACUGCCUUUAAGACUGCAUCGCUUGAAUCCAGGAGAGGUGAGUGGAAUUCCGAGUGUAGAGGUGAAAUUCGUAGAUAUUCGGAAGAAAACCAGUGGCGAAGGCGGCUCACUGGACUGGUAUUGACGCUGAGGUGCGAAAGCGUGGGGAGCAAACAGGAUUAGAAACCCGUGUAGUCC